ensembl:miRNA
UUCUGUUUACGUUGACAGCAUCUUCGAGCACUGCUUAAUGAUGACUAGUAAGUGCUUGCUGUUGUUGUGAAUGUGAAUCAGUCCC